rnacentral:piRNA from 1 species
UCAGAAACAUUUUCUCAAAGU